UACAGAGGUCUCGAGCGUUGUUCGGAUUCAUUGGGCGUAAAGGGUGCGUAGGCGGCGCGGUAAGUCGGGUGUGAAAUCUCGGAGCUUAACUCCGAAACUGCAUUCGAUACUGCCGUGCUUGAGGACUGGAGAGGAGACUGGAAUUUACGGUGUAGCGGUGAAAUGCGUAGAUAUCGUAAGGAAGACCAGUGGCGAAGGCGGGUCUCUGGACAGUUCCUGACGCUGAGGCACGAAAGCGUGGGGAGCAAACAGG
rnacentral:rRNA from 1 species